AGUGAACGCUGGCGGUAGGCCUAACACAUGCAAGUCGAACGGCAGCACAGUAAGAGCUUGCUCUUACGGGUGGCGAGUGGCGGACGGGUGCGGAAUACAUCGGAAUCUACUUUUUCGUGGGGGAUAACGUAGGGAAACUUCCGCUAAUACCGCAUACGACCUACGGGUGAAAGCAGGGGAUCUUCGGACCUUGCGCGAUUGAAUGAGCCGAUGUCGGAUUAGCUAGUUGGCGGGGUAAAGGCCCACCAAGGCGACGAUCCGUAGCUGGUCUGAGAGGAUGAUCAGCCACACUGGAACUGAGACACGGUCCAGACUCCUACGGGAGGCAGCAGUGGGGAAUAUUGGACAAUGGGCGCAAGCCUGAUCCAGCCAUACCGCGUGGGUGAAGAAGGCCUUCGGGUUGUAAAGCCCUUUUGUUGGGAAAGAAAAGCAGCAGGUUAAUACCCCGCUGUUCUGACGGUACCCAAAGAAUAAGCACCGGCUAACUUCGUG
rnacentral:rRNA from 1 species